UGUCGUCCGUCCCGUCACUGUCGGAUGAGGAAGAGACGCGUCGGGGCGCUGAGACGGGCAAGGCUCGCGGGAGAGCGAUGGGGAUCGCAGAGCUCCUGCGUCGUCCGGGAAGCCCCGCGAGUCUCCUGGCCGUGGCUGUCCUGCUGACUAUGGUGCUCGACUCUGCGUGGCUUCUCCCCCAGGAGCAGCAGGAUCUUCCAACCGUGAGGCCAAACUCCAGUCUCAAUGUGAAGUUUGACCCAAAGACGACGAGGCUGACUUGGGACUGCAAGGAGAACACUACGUACGGGGAGUGCGUGUUGAUUCACAAGGAGAAGGGGCUGAUUAAGAAAAAGGUCAAAGACAGCGAAUGUCACUGCACAUUUCCGGACUGUUCUCUCCACGGGGGAGUCACGCUCAGCGUCCAAAUAAAUGUCAACCAGAGACGGCUUUCAGAAAGGCUGGUCUACAGUAACCCAGGUAGGGAGGGCACGGCUGCCCGAAACUUCUCCUGUGUCAUCUACGACGCGGAUUUCAUGAACUGCAGCUGGGCCAAGGGCCGAGCGGCCCCCGAUGACGUCCAGUAUUUUUUGUACACGCGAUCAAAGAAAAGAAUCGAAAGGGAAUGUCCUCAUUACCUGAAAGACUCGGGGACCCACGUGGGAUGUCACCUCCGAGAUCUGUCGGGGUUAACUUCAUACAGUUACUUCCUGGUUAACGGAAGCAGCCAAGAAACGGAAAUCCAGUUCUUCGACUCGCUUUUGCUGUUAAAGGAAAUAGAGCGGUACAACGCUCCCGACAAUAUCACCGUCCACUGCAACGAGUCCCACUGCCUCGUCCGGUGGGAACAGCCCAGGACCCGGCAGCCUCGGUCUAACAGGGAGUUCCAGUACCAGCUGGACGUCCAGAGAUGGCAUGAUACCAGCAGCAAUAGAGGUCAACUGGUGAGUGACGACCCUGACCCUAGCUACCACCCUUGUUGUUUAAUCUUACGUGUGUGUGGGCGUGCGCAGUCGCUUCAUUCGUGUCCGACUCUCUGUGACCCCAUGGACUGUAGCCCACCAGCCUCCCCCGUCCAUGGGAUUCUCCAGGCCAGAACACUGGAGUGGGUUGCCAUGCAACCUCCUCUGUCCGAUGAGGAAGUUGGACUGGGUCCUCUGAGCAUCCUUUGCGGGGCCAUGACCCGUCUGUGGGUCUGUCCACAUCCUCCGCAGUUCCUCAACUGUCGCUUCAUCUGUACUGAAUGAUCCCAGGGGCCCCAGGACUAGUCAGUCAGAAGAUUCAGGACAAUCACCCAUGCUCUUUAUUUAUCUAUGCAUCUCUUUGCAGUAUUCGGGACGCAAAUUACAACAUUCACACUCAGGUUGGGAGGGUGUGGGCUUGAAUGUUUCUCUCCAGUUGGACAACUGAAAAGACACCCCCCACCCCCAGUCUUUUUCUCAACACAGGUCACAACUCUAACUUUCUGCUUUCUCCAAAGAUUGUGGUGUUUGGUGACUCGGGAAAUAGGUACAACUUUCCCAAACCGGGAUCCAAAGCAAAACAUACUGUGAAGAUAAGGACAGCGGACGCCCGGAAGGCCCACUGGGGUGCCUGGAGCCAGCCCGUUGAGUUCGGCUCGUCAGGACCCACAGGUUAUUCCCUCCGGUUCCACAGAUCAAAGAUAAAUUGAACGAUAACCAUCCAAUCGACCACGAGAUACUAUGGGAGAAGUUUACACAUGAAACGGGAAAAGAUGACAAGGAAGAGGUCUUAAUCGUGGAGAAAGUCUCAGAAGCCCCAGCAAAACUGUGAAUUCCAGGCGUCUCCAUACCCGGGACUUUCUAGAAGCUGUCGACUUUUUUUUUUAAAUAUAUUUUUUUUAACAUUUCUUAAAUGUUUUAUUUACUGUUUCGAAUGAAGCUUUUUUAAAUUGU